UGAUUGCUCACACCAAAGCCUUGGACCC
rnacentral:piRNA from 1 species